rnacentral:rRNA from 1 species
CACACCGCCCGUCACAUCACGAAAGUGGGCUGUACUAGAAGUAGUCGUGCCAACCCGCAAGGGGGGCAGACGCCCAAGGUAUGGUUCAUGAUUGGGGUG